GGUUGAACAGCCACAUUGGGACUGAGACACCGGCCCAAACUUCCUACCGGGAGGCAGCAGUUAGGGAAAUUUUCGGCAAUUGGAGGAAACUCUGACCGAGCAACGCCGCGUGAAUGACGAAGGACUUCGGUAUGUAAAGUUCUUUUAUCAAAGGAAGAAAAGCAAAUGGCGAACCAUUUGUUUGCCGGUACUUGAUGGAAUAAGCCCCGGCUAAUUAUGUGCCAGCAGCCGCGGUAAGACAUAAGGGGCAAGUGUUAUCCGGAAUUAUUGGGCGUAAAGGGUGCGUAGGCGGUCUAGUAAGUCAGUGGUGUAAUGGCAACGCUUAACGUUGUCCGGCUAUUGAAACUGCUAAACUUGAGUUAGAUAGAGGCGAGUGGAAUUCCAUGUGUAGCGGUAAAAUGCGUAAAUAUAUGGAGGAACACCAGAGGCGUAGGCGGCUCGCUGGGUCUUAACUGACGCUGAGGCACGAAAGCGUGGGGAGCAAACAGGAUUAGAUACCCUGGUAGUCCACGCCGUAAACGAUGAGUACUAAGUGUCGGGUUAAACCGGUACUGAAGUUAACACAUUAAGUACUCCGCCUGAGUAGUACGUACGCAAGUAUGAAACUUAAAGGAAUUGACGGGACUCCGCACAAGCGGUGGAUCAUGUUGUUUAAUUCGAAGAUACCCGAAAAACCUUACCAGGUCUUGACAUGUUUUUGCAAAAUGAUAGUAAUAUCGUGGAGGUUACCAGAAACACAGGUGGUGCAUGGUUGUCGUCAGCUCGUGUCGUGAGAUGUUAGGUUAAGUCCUAAAACGAGCGAAACCCUUAUCGUUAGUUGCCAGCACGUUAUGGUGGGGACUUUAACGAGACUGCCAAUGAUAAAUUGGAGGAAGGUGAGGAUCACGUCAAAUCAGCAUGCCCCUUAUGACCUGGGCUACAAACGUGAUACAAUGGCUGUUACAAAGGGUAGCUGAAACGCAAGUUCCUUGGCCAAUCCCCAAAAACAGUCCCAGUCCGGAUUGAAGUCUGCAACUCGACUUCAUUGAAGUUGGAAUCGCUAGUAUCCGG
rnacentral:rRNA from 1 species